UAGUAGUUUGACUCCGUGGCUACGAGACGACGCUGGCGGCAUGCCUAACACAUGCAAGUCGAACGGGGAUAGCAAUAUCCUAGUGGCGAACGGGUGAGUAACGCGUGAGUAACCUGCCUCAUACAACGGGAUACCUGAGGGAAACUUCAGUUAAUACGGUAUAAGACCACACUGCCGCAUGGCAGAGGGGUAAAAGGAGCAAUCCGGUAUGAGAUGGACUCGCGUCGCAUUAGCUAGUUGGUGAGGUAACGGCCCACCAAGGCGACGAUGCGUAGCCGACCUGAGAGGGUGAUCGGCCACAUUGGGACUGAGAUACGGCCCAGACUCCUACGGGAGGCAGCAGUGGGGAAUAUUGGGCAAUGGAGGAAACUCUGACCCAGCAAUGCCGCGUGAAUGAAGAAGGUCUUCGGAUUGUAAAGUUCUUUAGUCAGGGAAGAAAGAAAUGACGGUACCUGAAGAAUAAGCUCCGGCUAACUACGCG
rnacentral:rRNA from 1 species